UACGGAGGGUGCAAGCGUUAUCCGGAUUCACUGGGUUUAAAGGGUGCGUAGGUGGGCAGGUAAGUCAGUGGUGAAAUCUCCGGGCUUAACUCGGAAACUGCCAUUGAUACUAUCUGUCUUGAAUACCGUGGAGGUUAGCGGAAUAUGUCAUGUAGCGGUGAAAUGCUUAGAUAUGACAUAGAACACCAAUUGCGAAGGCAGCUGGCUACACGAAUAUUGACACUGAUGCACGAAAGCGUGGGGAGUCAAACAGGAUUAGAUACCCGUAGUAGCUCCAACGAUCCAAGUCUCUGCAUGCGUAAGUCACCGACC
rnacentral:rRNA from 1 species